CUUUGGUGUGUAUGAGUUCAGGUGCAUGUUAGGACCGAUAUUCUGAACGAGCACAACAACAGACGUGCAUAAAGACUAUCGACAGGUAUAUGGCUUUAGAAGCAUCCAAUGAGUGAUAACUGCCCUCAGGUACAAUGGACAUCAGUAAAAGUAUAUUAAAAUCUUUCCGACAACGAGAAGAUAUAUCCAGACUGCAUGAUGCCCUAGUUCAGGAUUUGAGCCAGUGUUCAGUCCAAAACACCAUACCUGGCAGAGCCUGCUUGAACUGUUAAGCCCCCUGUUGGACCCUGAUCAGCUGUUUGGCGGUAGUAUAACAGACUUUUCAGAGAUCUGUAAGAAUCUGAUAGCAAAAGGAGUCAUAACUCAGGGAUCAUACAAACCUCUGUUUGAGGUGAUCAGGAAGAUCGACGUCAAAGCGGCUGAGAUCAUUACCAAGGCUAUAGAGGACAUACAGAGUGUAAUAGCUGGAGGUCCAACACCAGUCAAAUGACAAAGACAAGAUGAAGACGACCAAUCAGACUCCGAGACGAUGAUACAGAGCCUGACCCUGGAGCAAG